rnacentral:lncRNA from 1 species
UAAGGCGCAUGCGCGACCUUAUAAGGGCCCCUGCACCUGUCGAUGAGGUUUCUGUGUCUCAUAGUCACACUAACCCUCAAUGACAGGAACUCAUCCACCCCUGCUCAGGCAGUCGUGGCUUUGGAAAUUAUUCCAGAUGAGAGUAUCCUUUGUGGAACCACUCCACCUGCUGUGUCUGGGACUCGCGUGGGUUGCAUUACAAAUCUGUGCCCGGCUGAGAGGACUGUUGGUCCUUCUGAGGUUGUGGUCCCUGGUCCCGAGUUUCCAAUGGAUGGAGCGGGGGGCGGCAGCAGCUCACCCGGCAGAGCCAGUUCAAGCCAGAGAUUCCAGAGGCAGCUCCCUCGGAGGGGACUCUCUUCUUGGUGCUUGCGACCGGGGGCCUGGCGUUCUGGCCUCAUCUGAAAUCCAGGGCCCGCUCUACUUUUACUCAAGAGGAUUUAUUUUGGGGUGGUAGAUACUCAACAAAUAUGGAAGAUUUUUUGCCUCCUGAAAUUAAGCCUCACCUGCAUGAACCUGGGGACUGGGUAGACAUCAAAACUUAGAAAACUGGGCCCAACCCAGAUCAACUAUUUUCUUUAUGGACAGGCUCUGCCUAGGGCUAUUAACUCCACACUCUUCCUUAAAAUAGACUCACAACUUGGAUGCACCGUACUAGAGUCAAAAAGCAUCUGCACCAGAGGCCCCAGAAGGAAGAAACGCCACCAGCACCAAAUGACAACAGAUACUCCUGCGAGCCACUCAUUAACGUGAAACUUGCAUUCUGGAGACAGAAUCAUAGCCCCCUCUACCUUGGUCUGAUUUUGAAAUGAACACUUUGUUGACGUUAGUCCUGGUCACUAGUAUCCUAGAGAUGCAAAAAGCCAUAAACACACUAGAGCAUGCUUGGGAAGUAAAUUCCCCAGUAAAUCUCAGUAGGGUCAUGGCAGAGGGACACAAACUGAAGACGGCUCUUCUUACUGAUUGAACCUUGCAUACAUAACUGUUGGGUAUCAUUUGGGUCCAUGAGCAUAGAGAUCAUCAAAUUACAAAUUACAAACGGGAGCAACACAAGCAGCGUGGGGGGAACCUGAUGACCCACAGACACACCUACCAGGGGAUAUAAUAUGCUCGUCUAUCACGUCCUAUGACNNNNNCAGGGAGCCUGCUUCCUCCUCUCUCUCUCUGCCUGCCUCUCUGCCUACCUGUGAUCUCUCUCUGUCAAAUAAAUAAAUAAAAUCUUAAAAAAAAAUAAAAUAA